rnacentral:lncRNA from 1 species
AAUCUGCAUCACAAAACCCAUGUCAGUAUGCAGUAUGCACACAUCGAUUUUUCAUUGGGGCCUGAGGCUCUCUUGAUUGAAGAUGAAAAAAUUGGUACAAGGAACAUGUGGUUUAAUGAGGAAAAAAAUAAUAUCCAAUGACCCAGAAGUAGAUCAGCUUUGUGUCUAUUUUUCAACACUUCCAUGUUUAUUAUCAAGGUUUUUAUCAAUUGAGCAUUUGCCUUUUUUUGGUCAGGCCCCUGAGAUCAGAGUUUGGUGGUGAAUAUUCAGGAUCAGAGAUUCACUCUUCAGGUUAGCAGCCUCACUCUUCUAUCAAAUUGGCUUACAAUUCUAUCCAUUAGCACCUUGCAAGAAAGAAGCACAUCAUACAAAGUAGAACCAGAUGUGUUUAUGCUUCAAAAGCUUUACAAGCAAAGAGAGGUGUGGUAGAAUUUGGUAGAAAAAUUUUGGAUGGCCAGGUCAGAGGGGAGGCAGAGCCAUCCAAAUUGUGGGCAUCAGGUAGAAUGACAAUCACUUGGGAUUCUAGGAUCUUUUCAUGCAGCCUGAUGGGAUUCUAGAACCAUCCAAAUUGUGGGCAUCAGGUAGAAUGGCAAUCACUUGGUGUGUGUGCAUGUGUUUUGGUGUCCUUGAGCUUAUGACCUGCAUGAUAUUUAGCUUAGAAAGGAGUUCUGGGAAAAGAUUUAUCCAAGGUGAUGUGUUGAAGAUGACUUGGUUGUGAUAAACAAAGUCUCUCAAUAGCUAGGAAGCUUUGAGUUAAUCAAAGCAUGAAAGAUUUUGAUAACAUAAUUAGAUAGUGUGAAUCAGCCAAUCCUCAUUUUAAAAUGCUGCUCCCUUCACUUGGUCAAGUUUGUAAGAUUCCCUCAGUGGAUUUGAAUGUUGGUUUCCUUCAUGGUCUUCAUGAAACUUUACCUCAUCCUAUCUCUAAUCACUGCCCAAAUCACACAACAAAUGAGGUUGUCUUCCUCAUAGGCCUGCCAAAGAACCACUAAACUUUAUACUAAGAGCAUCAACAACUACAUUCAGCUUGCCAGGAUGAUCCAGAAUAGAGCAAUCAUAGUCCUUGAUGAGCUCUAUUCACCUCCUUUUUCAUAUAUUCAAUUCUUUUUGAGACAAUAAAUAAUCUAAGCUUUUGUGGACUUUGUAAAUCUCACAUGUUUCAACAUACAAAUGAUGUCUCUAAAUCUUAAGGGCAAAAACCACGAGUGUCAAUUCUAAGCCAUUAGUAGGAUAGUUCCACUCAUCAGGUUACAAUCAGUGGCAGAGCCAGGAUCUCAGUUUAGGAGGGGCAACUUCUAAGACAUAUGUAAAUUUUAACAAUUAUAAAAGACGUGGGCUUUAGCCCAAUGGCCUAACCUUGACGCUUUUUAGGGGGGGCGGGGGCAGAAACUAGUUUGAGGUUCGAUUCCCCUUAUGAGAAGUGGGUUUUAUUUUUUUUAACCACCCCCUCCCCCUCAGACCUUGGUGAAGCAUAAGCAAUAACCUUCCCAUGUUGCAUUAACACAAAACAAAUCCCUAGUUUGAUGCAUCACUAAAGACAAAAAAAUGUUAGCCUGCAUAGCCUCAUAAAA